rnacentral:rRNA from 1 species
CCAAUAGCGUAUAUUAAAGUUGUUGCAGUUAAAAAGCUCGUAGUUGAAUUUCGGGAUCAGUACGUUGGUCGUGCCUUCGGUACGUACUGGCGUUACUGGUUCCUACCUUCUGAGGAACCGUCAUGUCAUUAAUUUGGUGUGGUGGGAAAUCCGGACUGUUACUUUGAAAAAAUUAGAGUGUUUAAAGCAGGCUCGCGCUUGAAUACAUUAGCAUGGAAUAAUGAAAUAGGACGUUCGAUCCUAUUUUGUUGGUUUCUAGGAUUGACGUAAUGAUUAAUAGGGAUAAUUGGGGGCAUUAGUAUUCAAUUGUCAGAGGUGAAAUUCUUGGAUUUAUUGAAGACUAACUACUGCGAAAGCAUUUGCCAAGGAUGUUUUCAUUAAUCAAGAACGAAAGUUAGGGGAUCGAAGACGAUCAGAUACCGUCGUAGUCUUAACCAUAAACUAUGCCGACUAGGGAUCGGAUGAUGUUAUUUUUAAUGACUCAUUCGGCGCCUUACG